CGUAUGCUUCAAGCCGGCGACGGCCAAGAUGGUGGCGUCAAGAAGCGGAUGCAGCUGGACCGCUCUCUACUUGCGGCGUUGGCGGACAGGUGGAGUCCGGAGACGCACACGUUCCACUUGCCGUGCAGGGAGAUGGCCCCCAUGUUGCAGUACGUGUCGUACCUGCUCGGGCUUCCCAUUGCGGGUGAAGCUGUUGGCCCAGUUGCCGUGCCACCUACCUGGAGGGCGGAGCUUCAGGAGCGGUUUGGUCCAGUGAACCCGCCACUUUUUGUGAACGUACCUGACGUGCUCGGCCCCGCCAAGAGUUGGGUAAUACAAUUUAGGGCUCAGGAUCUCCACCCUCUGGCUGCGCAGUACGAGGUGUCGCGCUUCCUGGAGGCAUAUCUAUUGUGGUUGUUCGGCUGGACUCUUUUCUGCAACUCUAGCGGCAAAGGCGUACUGGUUGUCCUCCCUCUGCACACGUGACGAGACGUACUGACUCACAAAGGCGAACCUAGUAUUUGAUAUUAUCGUCGAACCAUACUGCGUCGAGCGAGUGAUGAGGCAGUUCAGGCGACGAUAACACUUUCCUCUCCUACCUCGAGCGUUCCAGGCUGUGCCGCACAAUGUACAUGAAUAUUCGCGCAGGGAGUAUCAUGCCAACGAGGUCAACUGGGUGGUCAAGCUGCAGGAGUACGUAGGAGGGUGGCUAGCCGCACCUGACAAUGUGUGGGACGAGCCGCAGCCACACACGGAGGCGUCUUACGGUGCAUACCUCCGCUGGUACCUCCCUCGCACACGUCCGUACAUCACUCUUUAACAUAUUGAUGACGCGGAGCUUCAGCACCAGCCGACCAUCUCGAACACGUAUCCCUCAUACCAUGAUCAGGCGCAGCGUGGCGCGAUCGAUCUGUUCAACUGCGUGGAGGUCAAAGCUACAUCUCAGAUCACGUUGCUUGAACGUGGAGUACGUGUACCGGACGCACAGUACAAAGACAGCUUUCGUAAGAUUCAGGACAAUUUGACGCGAGCGUUACGUGCACUGACGUGUCGCAGCAGAGACGACGUGGGGGCCUACAAUUCAUCUCAUGCGUCCGCUCACGUGUACACAGCUGGCCCGUCGACUUCUACAGCACCGCACGCAGCAUCCAGCGAUACUGCCGCUAGUUCCAGCUUCAUGCACUCGACGGCAAUGGGACCUCCUCCUGCAAGAAUGGAGACUCAGACGUUUGGCGCCUAUGCUCCAGGAACGUCUCUCCGUCGGGUUCGACGCCAGCUGCUCCGUACUCUCAGGGCUAUACUCAGCAUGCAUGGUCGAUGGGAGCUUCUGCACACGGUGGUCUAUUCGGUGUGCUGGACUGGGACGACUGGGAGGGUGGCUCCGUCACUUGGUCGGAGUUGGUGGGCGGCGGCGCCGGGCCUGACAACAUUGGUCCCUCCCAGACGUACGACGCUCCAGGUGCACAGUCCCAGGAUGACCCGUUCACGCCAGCACCUCCUCCACCUCGUCCUCACCGUGCUCC